rnacentral:lncRNA from 1 species
UUGUAUUUGAUGAUAAAUGAUGUAAAAAAAAGAAUAUAAAGCUCUCUUUUGAGGUAAAUGUAAUGUAAGAAAGAAAUGAUGUAAUGAAAUGUAAGGAAUUUGAAAAUGUACAAGUUGGACUUAAUGUAUGUGAUCUAAAUUGAAUCAUAGUACAAAUGAAUGUUUAGUUUCCUUUCUCUCACUCAUAGCUAUUGCUUACCCUCGUGUAAGCCGUAUUUGUAUGUUUCCACUAGUGCACUUCUUGUUUGAAAAUGUACAUGUGAUGAGCCUUGGGCGGACAGGGGAAACUAU